rnacentral:rRNA from 1 species
GGUCGAGUCGGCCUGCGCGGAAGAUGUAACGGGGCUAAACCAUGCACCGAAGCUGCGGCAGCGAACGUAUCACUUAAAGCGAUUCAGCGUCUUACGAUUGACGGAGCGAAGCGACGUCAAAGCGUAUACAAAGUCGAGUCGGUUUAAGGAUACGUUCGUUGGGUAGGGGAGCGUUCUGUAAGCCGUUGAAGGUGUGCUGUGAGGCAUGCUGGAGGUAUCAGAAGUGCGAAUGCUGACAUAAGUAACGAUAAAGCGGGUGAAAAGCCCGCUCGCCGGAAGACCAAGGGUUCCUGUCCAACGUUAAUCGGGGCAGGGUGAGUCGACCCCUAAGGCGAGGCCGAAAGGCGUAGUCGAUGGGAAACAGGUUAAUAUUCCUGUACUUGGUGUUACUGCGAAGGGGGGACGGAGAAGGCUAUGUCGGCCGGGCGACGGUUGUCCCGGUUUAAGCGUGCAGGUGGAACGACCAGGUAAAUCCGGUUGUUCAUUAACACUGAGGCGUGAUGACGAGGCACUAAGGUGCUGAAG